rnacentral:misc_RNA from 1 species
AUGUUGUUCCAAGAUUCCUUUGAAGUUACAAAUCCUAUUGGUUCAGGAAAGAAAAAACAUAAAACACUAGCUGUUUAUCUGACAUUAGCAAAUAUUCCGUCCCAAAAACGAUACACAUCCGAUCAACUACAAUUAGUGCUUAUGUGUCGAGAUGUUGAUUUUAAGUUUUUUGGCUUAAAGAAGGUGUUUGCUCCUUUAUUGUCUGAUUUACAGGAAAUUUCAAUGUCUGGUGUUGCUAUUUCUGACACCUUGACAUUAACAAUAAAGCUUCUAUGUAUACUGGGUGAUAAUCUUGGAUCACAUGCUAUUGGAGGUUUUUGUGAAAAUUUCAGCACAGCUCAAUACUUUUGUCGAUGCUGCUUAGUGACACGUAUCGAAUUUGAUACAAAUCCUCACUUUUGUGGCCCUGAAAGAACAAAAGAAAUACAUAAUAGAAGCUUGCUUGAACUAGCAAACUGUGGUUUAAACAACUUUGAAGGCGUCAAAUUUCAGUCACCUUUUAAUGAUAUUAGUGAUUUUCAUGUCUCCACUGGUUUGCCACCAUGUCUAGCUCAUGACUGUUUUGAAGGAUUAGUAUCACAAGAUAUGUAUCUUUUUAUUAAGUAUUUUGUUACUAAGCGAUGGUUUUCUUAUAACAACCUAAAUAGAAGAAUAAAUCUACUUAAGUAUUUAGAAAAUGAUGCACAAGACAAACCAUGUGAAGUUAACAAAAUAUUGUGCACAAAGAAGCUAAGUGGCCAUGCAGUACAAAACUGGGUGUUUUUGCGUUUGUUUUCCAUAAUUAUUGGAUCAUAUGUAACUAAUUAUGAGGACUCUGUGUGGUUACUGUAUCUUAAAUUAAAACAAAUUAUGGAGUUGGUUUGUUCACCAAAGAUUGAUCUUGCACAUAUUGCAUACCUAAAGACACUAAUACACGAGUAUUUGUCUGGACGAAAGGAACUGUUUCCUGAUAAUAAACUUUUACCUAAACAUCACUAUUUGUGUCAUUACCCACAGCUUAUACUACGAUAUGGCCCUCUCAUACGUGUGUUUACACUGCGAUUUGAGAGCAAGCAUUCUUAUUUUAAACGAUGUGCUCGAAAUUACCAUAAUUAUAAACACUUAUGCAAAACAUUGACUAGCACCCAUCAAUUGCUGCAAGCAUACAACAAUUCAAGCAUUACAACCCAGGACUAUUUUUCUAUUGAUUCCUUCUUGUAUAAUGGAACAAAUUUCAAUUCUUUAAUAAACAGUUUAAUAUUAAAUACAUGUGGUCAGUUUCCGCAUGAUGUUUCAACGCAUGUUGUUUUUCGUGGCACACAUUACAAGAAAAAUCUCUUUUUAUUGUGUGAUGGAAUUUAUUAAAACCAGCAUCAUUAGAAUCCUGCCAUCUAUAGAUGCAACUUUAUUAGAGCAACUUGCAACUAGUUUGGAGCUAGAUGUUGGAGUGGAGACUCAAGCAGAUCUUCAUUUAGUUACAUUUGAAGACUUGUUUGGCCUAAAACCAAUACAAAAACGAAAACUACUUCAAUCAUGGUUAUCAAAUAAUGUGGCUGAUUCCAACAUGUUGACACCAGCAUUGAUGACUUUGUCGUCACCAUGUAUACCCUGCUCUUCUACUGAAAUUUUAGCAGCAGAAGGAUCUUCUGCGGCAUCAAAUUAUUUUGGACCUUCUGAUUGGUGUUGUUUAAUGU